rnacentral:rRNA from 1 species
UUUAAAAUUAAUUAAAAGCGACGGGCAAUAUGUAUAUAUUAUUUUAAAAUAUUAAAAUUUUAAAUCUAUAAAAUUUUAAUAUUAAAUCCAUUUUCAAUUAAAUAUUAAAAUUUAAAAUUCAAUUUAAAUUUAUUUAAUGUAUUUCAUUUUUAAACCUUAUAUUUUUAAUAUAUUAUGAUUUGAAAUAAAUUAAUAUUUAUAAAAAUAAAAUUUAUUAAUUUUUUAUUAUAAAAUUAAUUAAACAACAAUAUAUAAUUUAAUUAAUAUAAGUAUAUUUUAAUGUGUAUUAUCAAAUUAAUAAACAAAAUCCUCUAAUUUUAAAUAAUACUACCAAAUUAAUUAAUUUUCAUAAAAAAAAAAUACUAAUUAAAAAAAAAAUUAAAUUUUUAUAAUA